GUUAAGUUCACUGCCUGGGGAGUACGGUCGCAAGGCUGAAACUUAAAGGAAUUGGCGGGGGAGCACUGCAACGGGAGGAGCGUGCGGUUUAAUUGGAUUCAACGCCGGAAAACUCACCAAGGCCGACUGUUAGAUGAAGAUCAGCGUAAUGAGCUUAUCGGAUUUUCAGAGAGGUGGUGCAUGGCCGUCGUCAGUUCGUACUGUAAAGCGUUCUGUUAAGUCAGAUAACGAACGAGACCCUCAUCUUUAUUUGCUACCCCAUUCCCCGGAAUGGGCGCACUAUAGAGAGACCGCUGGUGUGAAACCAGAGGAAGGCGAGGGCAACGACAGGUCAGUAUGCCCCGAAUGUCUUGGGCUACACGCGCGCUACAAAGGACAGGACAAUGGGAUGCUAGGCCGAGAGGCAUUCACGCUAACCCGAAACCUGUUCAUAGUUCGGAUUGAGGGCUGUAACUCGCCCUCAUGAAGCUGGAUUCCGUAGUAAUCGUGUUUCAAUAUAGCACGGUGAAUAUGCCCCUGCUCCUUGCACACACCGCCCGUCAAACCAUCUUAGUUGGGGGUGGGUGAGGCUGCGCUUUAUGGCGUAUUCGAGCCUGCCUUCGACAAGGAGGGUUAAGUCGUAACAAGGUAUCUGUAGGGGAACCUGCAGAUG
rnacentral:rRNA from 1 species